rnacentral:lncRNA from 1 species
CUAAAGUUUUGGCAGGUUUCAUGUCCAAAAAUCCUUUAAUCGAGUUGUAAAUGAGGUUGAGCUGACAGAUGUUGGCAGUUUCUUCAGAAGUGCCAUGUGGGCUCAAGAACGCGCUUCAUGAAUGCCAAGUGAUGGCUCAACCAGAUUUUCCAGAACAAUGGCAUCCAAUGUCCACCCAAAGGUUGUUCGAGAGCCCCUUUUUAUGGAAAAAUCCUAUUUCAAUUAUUUCAGCAUCUAAACACUUCUAAACCACAUAGUACUGUCAAAUCCAGUAUAUACACAGUAAAAAUUUCAGUAGUUGGUGUGUUGGGGAAAAACUACAUAAAAGAGACGAUCAUUUUGAAGGAGAAACGAAUCCUUGCCAAAAAUUCUCUUGCUUCAAUAAAAAUCAAAACACCACAAAAUUCUUCAUCAAAUAUCCUUAGAAUUUUGAUGAUUAUAAAAGGUGAUCGAAGUUCGAGUUAAGGAAGAAAGAGUUCGUUCUUAGAGAUCCACAAGGGUAAAAAAUACUGAGGUUCUGAGCUGAUGCUGAAACGCUAAAUCAAGGAAUUCUUUGGUUAUUACAAUUUGGGAUCAGAGUCUAAUAAAGUUUAAUUGUGUCUGGAACAUAUUUUUAAGUUUAAUAUUUUUCUAGUUAUCAUUUACUAGCAUGAGGAGCUCGGAG